rnacentral:snRNA from 1 species
UCCUUGAUACCAAACAUCAAA